CCGAAGCGUACGGACUCUGUGACACUCACCGUGACCUCUGAGGUGUGUCGUACACUCCGGCGCGGAUUCAACGGUAAUGCAUCGUGUUUCAUUUGCGGGUCAAGGCUCUAACAAUGUAAAAAACGAAACAUAUAAAUUAUCCUCAUUGAGCAUUAUAAAUUUCUUUUAUGGUCAUCAUUAAUAGAUUUAUGUGCAUAAUUAUAUUAUUUUUAUUAGGUUAUUUUAAGUGACAUUGAAGUAACACGCAGGAUAUUGCGGUUGCAGCAAUUUAUAUGAUUCGUAUCUAUCGUAUACAUAUAUGCAUGUACAUAAAUACGUAAGUAUAUAUUACACGCUUCCAUGUUAUAUUUUUUUAACAAGUUUAAUUAUAUAUAUCAGAUGAU